rnacentral:rRNA from 1 species
GACGAACGCUGGCGGCGUGCCUAAUACAUGCAAGUUGAGCGAUGAAGCUUGGUGCUUGCACCAAUUUGAAGAGCAGCGAACGGGUGAGUAACGCGUGGGGAAUCUGCCUUUGAGCGGGGGACAACAUUUGGAAACGAAUGCUAAUACCGCAUAACAACUUUAAACAUAAGUUUUAAGUUUGAAAGAUGCAAUUGCAUCACUCAAAGAUGAUCCCGCGUUGUAUUAGCUAGUUGGUGAGGUAAAGGCUCACCAAGGCGAUGAUACAUAGCCGACCUGAGAGGGUGAUCGGCCACAUUGGGACUGAGACACGGCCCAAACUCCUACGGGAGGCAGCAGUAGGGAAUCUUAGGCAAUGGACGAAAGUCUGACCGAGCAACGCCGCGUGAGUGAAGAAGGUUGUCGGAUCGUAAAACUCUGUUGGUAGAGAAGAACGUUGGUGAGAGUGGAAAGCUCAUCAAGUGACGGUAACUACCCAGAAAGGGACGGCUAACUACGUG